UUCAACGGCCGCGGUAUUCUAACCGUGCAAAGGUAGCGUAAUCACUUGUCUCUUAAAUAGGGACUGGUAUGAAUGGCUAAAUGAGGGCAAGCCUGUCUCCUACAACCAAUCAAUGAAACUGAUCUUCCAGUCCAAAAGCUGAAAUAUAACCACAAGACGAGAAGACCCUGUGGAGCUUAAAAAUCUAUUACUUUUGAGUUGGGGCGACUUCGGAAUAAAACAAAACUUCCGAGCACAGAACAAGGCAGACAUGCCAAACACACUGAUCAACGAACCAAGUUACCCCAGGGAUAACAGCGCCAUCUUCUUUAAGAGUCCAUAUCGACAAGAAGGUUUACGACCUCGAUGUUGGAUCAGGACACCCAAAUGGUGCAGCCGCUAUUAAAGGUUCGUUUGUUCAACGAUUAACAGU
rnacentral:rRNA from 1 species